rnacentral:rRNA from 1 species
UACAGAGGUCCCGAGCGUUGUUCGGAUUUAUUGGGCGUAAAGAGCGUGUAGGCGGCCAAACAGGUCCACUGUGAAAACUCGAGGCUCAACCUCGAGAGGUCGGUGGAAACCGUCUGGCUAGAGUCCGGAAGAGGAGAGUGGAAUUCCCGGUGUAGCGGUGAAAUGCGCAGAUAUCGGGAAGAACACCCGUGGCGAAGGCGGCUCUCUGGGACGGUACUGACGCUGAGACGCGAAAGCGUGGGGAGCGAACAGG